GUCUGGACACAGCCAACUUACUGUUCAGAGCAUGAUGACUCUUUUUGAGACCGUCCUCUCCCCAGCUGGCAGCAAUGCCCGAAGGAAUGAAAAUUUGACCCUAAUGUUUUGGAGGGACUGGCUAAUUGAAAUGGUUCACGAGCAGUCAGCCUUGAAAAACUUUUGAUAUUUGUCUCUGGAGUGGACCAGAUUCCUCCUUUGGGCUUCCCCCAGAGGCCUCAAAUUGAAUUCCUUCAUGCCCCGCAUGAAAAUGGCGCCCGACGGCGCUAUCCUGAAGCCAACACGUGCAGCGUUGUUUUGAGGCUUCCUAUUCAUGCCACAUUUGAAGACUUUACUGAAUAUAUGGAGUCUGGAAUACUGCAGUCACCAACAUUUGGUUUUGUUUAACUUUUUUUUUUUUCCUUUUCAUGUUGACUUGCUUGUGGUACACAGUUCGCCUGGAUAAACAAGGGCAUGCCAUCAAACGCAUCACCUCUGAGCUGUAAUGUCCUUUGUUCUUAAUCAGUGUCAAUGGGAUGAUGCAAUUGUCUGAUAAGCAUCAUAGAUGCACUCUGUUUAUUUCAAUUAAAUAAGAUACAGUAAUUUGCUUGUUUGAAUGCAGCAUGUCUUUGCUGCGGCUGCUCUAAAGGUCUUGUUCAAAAUAUAACUACUUUUUUUACAUGUUAAUAGUAUUUUGUGAUUUUUCUGGUUUGAAGUAUCAACUGUUGUGUGUAAGUUCUCACUGUGGAUAAAACUAGAUGUUCCUGAAGGUUUGUUCUGAUGUGUCUCAAAUGUUUGCCUUUUCUGUGCUGUAGCUGGAGCGUUAUUGAAUCUUUUUGUACCUUGUGUUCAUUGCAAAUACCAAUGUUAAAUUUUGCCUGUUAACAUGUUGCCUGAACAAUUUGGAUUUACUGGAUGUUCUGUCAUAUUUAUCAAGAUGUCGCAUUGACUGCAUUAAACAAAGUGAAUUGGAAA